AACGUAGGAGUCAAGCGUUAUCCGAAUUCACUGGGCGUAAAGCGCGUGCAGGCGGCCGGAUAAGUUGGCUGUGAAAUCUCCUGGCUCAACUGGGAGAGGCCGGUCAAUACUGUCGGGCUGGAGGGCGACAGAGGGAGGUGGAAUUCCGGGUGUAGUGGUGAAAUGCGUAGAUAUCCGGAGGAACACCAGAGGCGAAGGCGACCUCCUGGGUCGUACCUGACGCUCAGACGCGAAAGCUAGGGGAGCAAACGGG
rnacentral:rRNA from 1 species